GACGAACGCUGGCGGCGUGCCUAAUACAUGCAAGUCGAACGCAGUGGGGACGGGUGAGUAACACGUGGGUAACCUCCCAUCAGAGGGGAUAACAUUUGGCAACAGGUGCUAAACCGAUAUUGCUAGAUGGACCCGGGGUGCAUUAGCUAGUUGGUGAGGGAACGGCGAACCAGGGCCACGAUGCAUAGCCGACCUGAGAGGGUGAUCGGGCACACUGGGACUGAGACACGGCCCAGACUCCUACGGGAGGCAGCAGUAGGGAAUCUUCGGCAAUGGGCGAAAGUCUGACCGAGCAACGCCGCGUGAGUGAAGAAGGUUUUCGGAUCGUAAAACACUGUAGGUAGGGAAGCGGUAUCUAAAGAGAAAGCCACGGCUAACUACGUGCCAGCAGCCGCGGUAAUUC
rnacentral:rRNA from 1 species